AGAAACGGGAGCGAGGGAGAUGAGAUGAAAGCAGAAUGAGGAGCAAUAGUAGUGGUUAGGUAACGCUCAGAACCAUGCCUCAACAACUACUAAAUAAGCCGUGAGAAGAUUGGUCUUGUUGGCAUUGGUAAUAGGUUGGAGGACUGUUGGCAUUGGUAAUAGGUUGGAGGACUGUAGGCAUUGGUAAUAGGUUGGAGGACUGUUGGGAUUGGUAAUAGGUUGGAGGACUGUUGGCAUUGGUAAUAGGUUGGAGGACUGUUGACAUUGGUAAUAGGUUGGAGGACUGUUGGCAUUGGUAAUAGGUUGGAGGACUGUUGGCAUUGGUAAUAGGUUGGAGGACUGUUGGCAUUGGUAAUAGGUUGGAGGACUGUUGGCAUUGGUAAUAGGUUGGAGGACUGUUGGCAUUGGUAAUAGGUUGGAGGACUGUUGGCAUUGGUAAUAGGUUGGAGGACUGUUGGCAUUGGUAAUAGGUUGGAGGACUGUUGGCAUUGGUAAUAGGUUGGAGGACUGUUGGCAUUGGUAAUAGGUUGGAGGACUGUUGGCAUUGGUAAUAGGUUGGAGGACUGUUGGCAUUGGUAAUAGGUUGGAGGACUGUUGGCAUUGGUAAUAGGUUGGAGGACUGUUGGCAUUGGUAAUAGGUUGGAGGACUGUUGGCAUUGGUAAUAGGUUGGAGGACUGUUGGCAUUGGUAAUAGGUUGGAGGACUGUUGGCAUUGGUAAUAGGUUGGAGGACUGUUGGCAUUGGUAAUAGGUUGGAGGACUGUUGGCAUUGGUAAUAGGUUGGAGGACUGUUGGCAUUGGUAAUAGGUUGGAGGACUGUUGGCAUUGGUAAUAGGUUGGAGGACUGUUGGCAUUGGUAAUAGGUUGGAGGACUGUUGGCAUUGGUAAUAGGUUGGAGGACUGUUGGCAUUGGUAAUAGGUUGGAGGACUGUUGGCAUUGGUAAUAGGUUGGAGGACUGUUGGCAUUGGUAAUAGGUUGGAGGACUGUUGGCAUUGGUAAUAGGUUGGAGGACUGUUGGCAUUGGUAAUAGGUUGGAGGACUGUUGGCAUUGGUAAUAGGUUGGAGGACUGUUGGCAUUGGUAAUAGGUUGGAGGACUGUUGGCAUUGGUAAUAGGUUGGAGGACUGUUGGCAUUGGUAAUAGGUUGGAGGACUGUUGGCAUUGGUAAUAGGUAGGAGGACUGUUGGCAUUGGUAAUAGGUUGGAGGACUGUUGGCAUUGGUAAUAGGUAGGAGGACUGUUGGCAUUGGUAAUAGGUUGGAGGACUGUUGGCAUUGGUAAUAGGUUGGAGGACUGUUGGCAUUGGUAAUAGGUAGGAGGACUGUUGGCAUUGGUAAUAGGUUGGAGGACUGUUGGCAUUGGUAAUAGGUAGGAGGACUGUUGGCAUUGGUAAUAGGUUGGAGGACUGUUGGCAUUGGUAAUAGGUUGGAGGACUGUUGGCAUUGGUAAUAGGUUGGAGGACUGUUGGCAUUGGUAAUAGGUUGGAGGACUGUUGACAUUGGUAAUAGGUUGGAGGACUGUUGGCAUUGGUAAUAGGUUGGAGGACUGUUUUCUCAGUACACAAUGGAAGGAAAUAGCCUUCCUAAAUUAUUCUCAAAUGGGUGAAUGAUACAGAGGUUGUCAGUAUCUCUUUGGACGGGAGUCGAAUAAAAAGAUGAGUCGUGGCAUAUCAUGUUUAUCCAUUACCGAUAGGUGCACCAAGCUUGUCUUUGAGCAAAUUAAUUCAGACACCUUCACGUGCUCCUCCUCUCAUAUUUUCACACUGCCUACCAGCAGCUAGCCAGGCUCACUUCUAAGAGCAGAAAUCCCAUCUCCAGCCAUGUGAUUGAACCAACAAUGGCUUUGAUUGAGAGCAAAUGUUCUAAAAAAAUAAUUGUUUGCUAGAGCAGGAAAACCUCAAGUUAGUCACAUUGAUAUGUUCUCAGCCUUUUCUCAAAUCAAAAUAAAAUAUUAUUUGUCACAUAGGCCAAAUACAACAGUUGUAGACCUUACUGUGAAAUGCUUACUUACAAGUCCUUAACCAACAAUGCAGUUAAGAAAAUAGAGUUAAGAAAAUAUUUAAUAAAUAAACUAAUGUAAAAUUGUAAAAAAUGUAAGUAACAAUAAGGCUAUAUACAGGGGGUACCAGUACAGAGUCAAUGUGCAGGGGUACAGGUUAGUCAAGGUCAUUGUACAUGUAGGUAGGGGUGAAGUGACUAUGCAUAGAU